CAGUCGCCACGGGAAUACGUAGGGUGCAAGCGUUAAUCGGAAUUACUGGGCGUAAAGCGUGCGCAGGCGGUUUGUUAAGACAGAUGUGAAAUCCCCGGGCUCAACCUGGGAACUGCAUUUGUGACUGGCAAGCUAGAGUGUGGCAGAGGGGGGUGGAAUUCCGCGUGUAGCAGUGAAAUGCGUAGAUAUGCGGAGGAACACCGAUGGCGAAGGCAGCCCCCUGGGCCAAUACUGACGCUCAUGCACGAAAGCGUGGGGAGCAAACAGGAUUAGAUACCCGCGUAGUCCCUGUCUCUUAUAC
rnacentral:rRNA from 1 species